CUUGCUUCUCUUGAGAGCGGCGGACGGGUGAGUAAUGCCUAGGAAUCUGCCUGGUAGUGGGGGAUAACGUUCGGAAACGGACGCUAAUACCGCAUACGUCCUACGGGAGAAAGCAGGGGACCUUCGGGCCUUGCGCUAUCAGAUGAGCCUAGGUCGGAUUAGCUAGUUGGUGGGGUAAUGGCUCACCAAGGCGACGAUCCGUAACUGGUCUGAGAGGAUGAUCAGUCACACUGGAACUGAGACACGGUCCAGACUCCUACGGGAGGCAGCAGUGGGGAAUAUUGGACAAUGGGCGAAAGCCUGAUCCAGCCAUGCCGCGUGUGUGAAGAAGGUCUUCGGAUUGUAAAGCACUUUAAGUUGGGAGGAAGGGUUGUAGAUUAAUACUCUGCAAUUUUGACGUUACCGACAGAAUAAGCACCGGCUAACUCUGUGCCAGCAGCCGCGGUAAUACAGAGGGUGCAAGCGUUAAUCGGAAUUACUGGGCGUAAAGCGCGCGUAGGUGGUUUGUUAAGUUGGAUGUGAAAUCCCCGGGCUCAACCUGGGAACUGCAUUCAAAACUGACUGACUAGAGUAUGGUAGAGGGUGGUGGAAUUUCCUGUGUAGCGGUGAAAUGCGUAGAUAUAGGAAGGAACACCAGUGGCGAAGGCGACCACCUGGACUAAUACUGACACUGAGGUGCGAAAGCGUGGGGAGCAAACAGGAUUAGAUACCCUGGUAGUCCACGCCGUAAACGAUGUCAACUAGCCGUUGGAAGCCUUGAGCUUUUAGUGGCGCAGCUAACGCAUUAAGUUGACCGCCUGGGGAGUACGGCCGCAAGGUUAAAACUCAAUGAUUUGACGGGG
rnacentral:rRNA from 1 species